rnacentral:rRNA from 1 species
CCAAUAGCGUAUAUUAAAGUUGUUGCAGUUAAAAAGCUCGUAGUUGAAUUUCGAGACCGGUCUACUGGUCGUGCUUUUGUACGUACUGGUUUUAUUGGUUUCUCCUUUCUGACGAACUAUAAUGCCAUUAAUUUGGUGUUAUAGGGAAUCAGGACUGUUACUUUGAAAAAAUUAGAGUGUUUAAAGCAGGCUCACGCUUGAAUACAUUAGCAUGGAAUAACGGAAUAGGACGUUUGAUUUUAUUUUGUUGGUUUCUAGGAUCGACGUAAUGAUUAAUAG